rnacentral:rRNA from 1 species
ACUUUACAAUUUUCUUCUGUUUCAUAAAUUUAUAGUUUAACUUGAGUGAGAAGAGCUUUUGUUGGGUUGGGGCGACUAUUAUAUAAUAUUUUAUAACUGUAAUUUAAAAUAAUAAAUUUGUUUAGUUAAUUGAUCCUUUAAUAAAGAUUAAAAGAUUAAGUU